CGGGGCUGGCCAGAGCACGGAAGACGUUUGCCGGGACUACCUGCGCAAUGUCUGCUAUCGCGGCAAGACCUGCAAAUACCUCCACCCGGACAUAAAUGAGUGUAUCCAAUCAAGGAACAUACCAAGCUUCUUGGCAAUUUGAAAAGGCCAUGCAGGAAACAUCUAUGGAUUGUAGCUGGAUUAGCUUUUGCUUGAUGCUGGCAGCAGUUGCUAAUUGAAGCCAUAUUGGGAAAAAUUGCUACUUGGAAGAGCAGUUGAAGAGCUAGCACCAAUGAUAGUUGCGAAAGUAUGUCAGCAUCAUAGGAACUGCAAAUCUUUAGCAAACUUUGUUGAAAUGCAGUUUGUGUCUUAAGACAAUACAUAAUGCCUAGCAAGGUUAAUUUCAAGGUUGUACUCGCUGUACGUGAGGGAGUGUUACCACAGAGUUUUAGUGGUGAUUUUGGUUAAAAUGUAAUUGAAACUAGAAUGGUGAUGACUAUGCUGCCUUUGAACUGAGCUGGACCAGACUCAAGUAUACCAACGUUAGUGUUCCAAAAACUCCUCUAAGUGAGUGAGCUGGAACAACUCCUAAUAUGUGUAAAACAAUAACGUAAAACAUUACAAAGGAACUCAGAUAAUGGACAAUACCAGUCAAGUGAGUACCCUGAAAUAUAAUGACACAAUGCAGCUGCAGUACUUUUUCCCCUGAAGGUAUGGUGCCCUGCAAAUCAAACAGUGCGUUUGGCAUGUAAUGAAAAAAAAAUUGUGGGUUAUCCCUAUGUUGUCCAACGUGGACACUCAUCUUUUCUGAAGACAUAAUUGUACUUUUUAAGCAAUCUGCACAUCUUGAUUUGCUAAGAAAUUUCCCCUCAGCCCCUUGAAACACUAGAGGAUCCUUACUGUACUACUAUUUCUGCUUCUUCCCCUCCCUGCAAACCCCCCCCCCCCCCGACACGCACACGCACACGCACACGCACACACGUGCACGCACACACGCACACGCACACGCACACACACACGCACACACACACGCACGCACACGCACACGCACACGCACACGCACACACACACGCACACACACACACACACACACACACACACACACACACUAUAAGGUACAAGUAACACUGGGUAAUGGUCAAAUUGGAUAUCGGUAACUAAAUACGUAGAUACCAGGUGCUAUGGAAUUCCUUUCUAUCUUGUUCCAAAAAGGCAUGAGAAUUUGCAGUUCUAAGGGUGUAUAGGAAUAAAUGUAAUUAUUGAGUGAAGGAGUCUGUGUAACUGAAAUUUGAUGUUAUUUCUAUUCAGUUGCUCUAAUAUUGUGUACACUGUAGUUGUAAUCCAAUAAUGUUACAUAAAAUGGUAACUAGUGUUCACAGUUCAGCUGCACAAGAUAUAGAAUCAGCACAAGGCGGUGUCUGUAUGUUCCCAGUUCUGUUAUGCUAACUAAUCUCUCAGCCUCGUUUAAGGAAAUACCAGGCUGGGGCAGGAGCAGAACUUGUAUGCAAAAAGGCGCAUAAUGCCAUUUCUCGAGAGGUACCUUUUCAGAACUGAAACAUUCUUUGGGUCCUUUAGAUGCCUUUGGCUGUUUUGAAUGUCACGUGUAUUAAACCUUUUGCUACUCAACAUCAGUACACUGAAAUGUUGUCUUUCUCUGUCCCAAAUAUAUUUAUUAUUACACAACCCUGUGUGAACUUGCUGCAUGAGCUUAGUUGUUUGCCUGAGAGUAUUCGGGCAUAAUAUUAUUAACCCCUUUCCAGCCAAGGAAACCUUGACCUAACCAUUGAAUAUUAAGACUGGCAGUUCCGAAAUGUUAUUUUUUGAUGUUUAUAUGAUAAUGACAAAACUUUCCAGGAAUAUUUUGUUAGCAGAUGGUGGUCAACUUAGUAUGAGCAUCAAGUAUACCCAAGGUGCCCUGGAAUUCCAAUAGGAUUAGUUUCAUGAAGCACUUACCAAAACAACCACAACACAAUUUCUUAAAUACAUUUGGUGAGUUUAAGAGACCAUUAGACUUUUAGUGAGAAAACGGUUGUGAUGUUCAAUUAUUACGACCUUGUGUUUGUGACAUACAUAGUCUCAAUAAUGGUAUUUUACUUUUCUCUUGCAGCUCUUAGUUACAGUAUUGGUAAAGCUUGAAAUUUUAUACCAUGCUAAUUGUGAUACAUUAAUCCAAAAAAGAGUUAAGGUCCAUGGGUUUAGGCACUUGGACAAAUGUGCAUUUUUUUAAAAAAAGACUUCCAUAAUAGUGUUGUAAUAUUGAAUACAUAUAUCUGAGUUAUAAUAAUUAAGCCACAUUUAUGUCUCUUUUUUGAGUUCAGUUUUUCCUAGUUUGAAUUUGUUUUCCUGAAAACAUUCGAUGUUCUUGAAUUUAAUUUAAAUUCUCUGAAAUGGUUAGUAGACUAGUAGAUACUGCAAAUGGCAAAUAGUCUGGAUUUCAGAGGUAAUAAAAUUGUUGAGCUUUGCCUUUAUUUUGUGGCUGGAAAGGUUUAAUGAUACAGUAUAUGUGUUUUUAUAUAAUACAUAUAUAUAUAUAUAUAUAUAAAAUAUAUAUAUAUAAAAUAUAUAUAUAUAUUUUUUUUGCUAUGGUAUUUACUGUCAGUGCUUUCCUAUGCGAUCACAUCAAUGUUCUUUCUCAAGGUUAAUCUUUCCACAGAUAGAAAGACCUUCAGGGCUCCAAAUACCUAGUUUUUAAUCAACAGGGAUUAUUCCAGUGUGUAGAGAUCCUACAUUGAAAUCACAGUCCCCGACAUUGAAGUUUGGCCACAUCAUAAAAACAUAUACCCUUUUAAUUUGUUCAUGCCUGCCAUCUAUUAACCUCUGCAUUGAUACCUAAUUGGGAAGACCCCUCUAUCCAUUUACUGUUAAUUGUACACUUUUUAAAAGUAGAAAUUUAUGAAAGCCUAUUAGUGAGUGUAAAACAAUAAAAUAAUUUUUUCACAUAUUAAGUGCACUGUCUUUUUAUUUUUACAUUGUGCGCACAGAUCACAGGAGGGUAGAAUUGGUGUUCAGCUCACCCAGAGCUACUCUUAUGCAGACUGGCAGAAACCUGAAUACAGAUGAACUACCUGCCCUUUUGCCUAAGAAAUGCUUAGGGACACUCUUGGGUUAGGAAGGACAAGGGACAAGAAAUGUCACUGAAAUUAAUUUGUUGCACGUACCUGAUUGGAAAGGAGAUACUUACAUAAACCAUCUGCCCUGCAUAAUUAAGAACUCAACAUAUGAUUCUGAGAGGUCACUUUUACGAGAAGAUUCUUAUGAUUUACAUAUAUUUUGAGACUAGUCAAAUAUUUAGGAAGUUGGAUGUGUUUGAAAAUAUUGCCUUGAUUGAUGUAUCUUAGAUGUGACUUAUUGUGCUCAUCAGGUGGGAGAUCUCCCAUUCUAGGCACUCGAUAUUAAGCAGCCCCUCGUCAGUUACAGGUACAAAAGAAAGCUUUUUCUCUUUGAGGUUUUCAAACUUUUCAGUGUAGUGAUCUCUUAAAAAUAUGACACUGCCAAGGCUCACCAGCUCCAAAUUUCCCAAAAGAGUGUCAGCUACCCAACGGAAACAGAUAUCAGUGUAGCAAAUUCACUCAUUUGUGUUCAGUGAUACAAAUAAUGUACCAGUAAGUCACAAAUAGCAAAUCUGGUGACCUCAUAGAGCUGGUAUUACCUUGAAGGCAUCUCAGAUAGAGGCUGUUCGAAGGUUGGGGCUAACGAGUAUACAUUUCUCGCACCUAGCCAUCCUUUGCAUCUUAGUGAGAUUGAUAUUUAAUAUUAAACUAGGAGCAGUUUGUAUUUAGUUCCACACCACCUAUCAUCUGAGCCGAGAUGGGCCAAACUUGUUUUUCAUAGAGCUCUUGCAGGCAAAGGAGAGAAAAGACUAUCAUUCUAUCAGUUUGAACUUGAUUUAAAACUGGGUUCUGAUCCCAGUCCUGCCAAGAUCAGAAACCCUCACAUGGGAAUCAUGGGUGAGGACUUGCAUCUGAAGACUCCAUAGUGUAAAAAGUCAGUGUAAUGACAAUUUGAAGAAGCUUUAGUUCUCUCUGCCACUUUCCUCCCUUGCUUCCGUAAUCUUAGACUCUGUUCAGAUGCAAUUCCUAAUGCACCACAUUCUCUAUUUACGAGAUGCCCAUUAUUCAAAUGUGAGCCUAGAUGGUGAGCAUUGACAAGCUAUUUAAUCAUGGGGCGAGUAUCACAGCCCAAUCAUAUCUCCAACCAACAUUCACAUAUGUAGGAUUCCACCAUGGAUCUCAGGAUAGUGAACAAUUGCCCUGGAUGUUACUCUCCUUAAUCAAGACAUGUAGAUGCCAAUUGCAACACCCAACCACUUUGCAGUCAGCGAUCAGUUAGCUCAACAAAAGGCGGGGAACAAAUCUGAUAAAUCAUAAGAAUUAAAUUGCAAGAUGCAGUGGAUUAUCAUACCUACUUGUGUUUCAGACAUAGACCAUUAAGCUGUAUUGUCUUCACUCUGGCAGGAUUCACUGUCAUGUUGGUUGUUGCCAUUUUUUCUCCCAACAAAAACAAUCUGCCUCAGUCUGGCAAAUAGCCCCAUGCUUAGGUGUUUUUAGACCUCAGUAAUCUCUUCUCCUCCUCCUCCUCCUCCUCCUCCUCCUCCUCUCCUCCCCCCCCCCCCCAUAUUUUGGAAUAAAUGUUAUUCCCAUUUAAAUAUUUGAAUCAAAAUAACUGAGCCAGCUCAUGGUUGCCAUUUUGUUAUGUAAACAUGUAACAAAUCAAUUCGUAGUGAUUUCUUUCUUAGCACUGUCAAAUCUACAUAAAAAUUUUGCACCUCAUGGAAAGUCUGUCUAUAAGACUUCAAAUUUCACAUUCACAAAAGCAGCAAUCAUGAACACAUGAAUACUGACAAACAAGUACGUGGAACUCCACUGUCUGAAAAAAAAAGUCACUUUUGGGGGAAAAAAGGGACCAAGCACAUCCCACAAAAAAUGAGAAACUCGAUGGAUGUUAGAUUUUUCCACUUUCCCUAUCUUUUAAUUCUUGCCCUCAACACACACACCAUUUUAGAAACUUUUGGCAUGGAAAUAUUGAUUCUCCAACAUGCUCUAUCUCCUGUGCACUACUUAUGUAUUUCUUCAGAAACCUCACUGACCUUAUCCCUGUCAUGAGUCUUCCCUCUCUCACCAAUCUCAACCUCUAUUUUGCUUAACAGAGCUCUCGUUUUCUUAGGUCUAUAUUUGCAAUAUUUUUGCGGCCAGACAUGUUAACCUGUGCCAUGCAAAUUUUCCAGGCCAGGAGGUUUUAGCAUCACAGUGUCACUUCUGGUAAUCUGCUUUCAGGUGGAGACGACAAAAAGCUAAUAGAGUCUCUCCCCAAAAAAAGCAAGCAACAGGACUGAAAAGAAAAAAAGGGAAAAUGUAGAGAAGAAAAAAAUGAAAAUUUAGAGAACAAAAUUGUACAUUUGGAAAGAAGGGAGAAAAAUGAAGCAAUACUAGGAAAAAGAAGAUUGAGGAAUACUGAGCCAAAAAGAACAGCGAAGUAGAAAAUAAAAGGAUUAAGAAAAGAACAGUAGUAAGCAUAGUAGACUGGCAAGUCAAAUAUAAGUCUGAGCUUAAACUGCCACUUUGAUGUAUUGACUUUGAGUACACAGUGACAGUAUAAUUCUGAAGUCAGCGCCUAAACUAAAGCCAAGCACUCAAUGAUGAAAAUAGAAAUUGUUGCCUUGAUCUUAUGAUAUUGGAUAAAGCAAAUCGAAUUUUAAAAUAGCAUUAGCCAGCUGAGACUCUGGGGUGACUGAAACAUCCUUUGUUCUAUGUCUAAAGCACUUGGAUGGUUGCAUACAAUCUUCAGCUUGCUUAAUGCAAAUACAUUUUUUAUGGUUAUUUCAUAUCUAUGUCUAGUUGGCAAAAUGCAGUCCAUUAUUUAUGUGAGAUCCUUUAUGGUGUAUUUCUGUGAAUCUCAGUGCGGGUGUCUAAAAUGUAAUUUCUGUUAAUGAGUGUUUAAAAACUGGCCAGGCUGGGAGAGGGAAGACCAUUGAAAGGGGAUACAGUUCCAAGCCGUUAACUUGUGUACUUUAAGUCUGCUUGAAUCUUGUUUGUUGAAGACUAUCUUCAGAGCGACUGCUUCUACUCCAAUGGAAAAGACAUUCCUAUAAUUCAGGAACUUUCUUGUGGUCUUCAGUCCUCUAUUUGUUGCAUCUCUCUGUGAAGUCGGCAAUAAAGGCUCAAAGAAUAAUCCUACAUAUUUACUGGCCAUGGCAGUGUGUUUCUAAAGACUUUCUGAGAGGAACUAUAAGAACAAUGGACACUGUCUUUUCAAGGAGUCAACCCCCCAUUUGGCUAUGUUGGCGAAAGGCUUGCCUGCUCAGUUAGCCCAACUGAGAUCAACAACUUAGCUGUAGGAAAUUGAACUGUGGACCCUACCACUCUAUAAGAGUGAUAACAAGGCACCACACUGUUUAAAAUCAUCCUAAGGCCGAUUUUUUUAGCAGAAUGGGAGACAGAUCGCUGGAGUCUGAUCUGACCGGGUCUGAGUGAAGGAUCAAAAUUUUGAUGUUUUUCAGCUGACUGCUUACGCCAAAAAAUGCAAAGCUCCCAGCAAGAUAUUUAUUAGCAGCCAAGGGCCUUGACUCGUGCUGGGGUACAACUCCAUGGCCACUGCCAGCUAUCCGGUGCCUUGACCAAAUGAGAAUGUAUGAGAUACAUUAUCCUGGGAUUCCAUUGCUUGAACACCAGAAGUUGGGGGCGGAUGAAUUCAAUGCCAUUCCCAGAGCUCAGCCUUUGAAACUCGUUGCCUGUCAAACGCUCAGCCUUUAGGUUGCAUUAAGGAAAUAGAAGAGUUGAACACAGGGCUAAAAUGGAGUCUGAGCAACAUGUCAACAUCUUUGCUCUGAGGUUGCAUGAAGGGAACGGAUGAACUGAACAAAAUGAUUAAUCUACAAUUAUACAAGAAGUGGAGGCCUAGGAAUAAGUAGCCAUGGAAAUACUGGGGAGGCUAGAAGUGCAGUGGUAAAAAGGUUUGGUGUGAUUGAGCUCUGACCGUAUUUUCUGAUUGGUUAAACACACUUUACACCUAUUUACUUAGAAAAAUUGAUCAGAAGAACUAUCCUUCUCUCUGCCCUUUAAAUCUGUCUAUUCUUCCCCCCUGUAAUUCUCUCUCUCUUGUUAUUUCUGUCUCUCUUGUUCUCCUCAUUUGCAUUCUGCUCUUCUCUACAUUUUUUACCUUUUAGUGCACACUUAGGACUUGGAUUGGGUGAACAGGGAGCACUUGGGGCAGGUAGAUGGAUGGGUGCGCAAAAGGGCUUGUGAAGCAACUGGUGGAAGUCAGUGGGCCAUGAAGCUCUUGAGUGGGCAGGUGUGCAAACAGACAGAUGGAACUGUGCAUUCAGCUCCCAAUACACUGCUCGCAACGCAAGGUUUUCUCACAGUAUUGUAAGUACGGAGCCAAACAUACCUGAACUGCAGGAAAUGUACCCAGGUUGAGAUAACUUUGAGAUGGGUGGGAAUAGUUUAGAGGGGCUCUGAUUAGCUGGGUUGGGGAAGACAUGGAUUGAGGCAGAUAGGUGUGCCUGUGCCUGAUUAAGAAUAACUCUGGGCAGAUCAGGACCAGCUGCUGGGUGGAGACAAACUUACUAUUCAAAAAAAUGAAAGAUCUCCCAUAGCAUUGCUCAUGGGUGCCCCAGGACCACAGAUAGCAACCUUAGCGGCCUCAGAUCACUUAGAGACUAGGCCUCACAGCAAAAUUUAGUAGACACAUUCUUUAUGGGGUAGGCUUUUACACACUGAGUGACUUCUCAUGCUCUGUGAUUUCAAGCUUUUUAUUCAUUCAUGACAUGUGGAAUUCAUUGGCCAGGCUUGGAUUUGUUGCCCGUUCCUAACUGCCCUUGAGAAGGUGGUGGUGAGCCACCUUGAACCACUGCAGUACAUGUGUAGGUAUGACCGUAGUGCUGUUGGGGAGGGAGUUCCAGUGUUUUGACCUAGCGACAGUGAAG